AAAAGGGCAUCUGUCAGCAGAUUUGUACCUAUGAAACUGGCAGACCUGUUCCAUGCGCGCUUGGCAGCCGAAGGCAUCUGUGUUGGUCCCAUGUUCAUAUGUGCCCGCAUUGCUGAGAAAAAUGAAGUUUUACUAUAUGCAAAUGAGCCUCUAGGUGCUAUGGGGGCGUGAUUAGCAC